rnacentral:rRNA from 1 species
AUGGUUGUCGUCAGCUCGUGUCGUGAGAUGUUGGGUUAAGUCCCGCAACGAGCGCAACCCUUAAGCUUAGUUGCCAUCAUUAAGUUGGGCACUCUAAGUUGACUGCCGGUGACAAACCGGAGGAAGGUGGGGAUGACGUCAAAUCAUCAUGCCCCUUAUGAUUUGGGCUACACACGUGCUACAAUGGACAAUACAAAGGGCAGCGAAACCGCGAGGUCAAGCAAAUCCCAUAAAGUUGUUCUCAGUUCGGAUUGUAGUCUGCAACUCGACUACAUGAAGCUGGAAUCGCUAGUAAUCGUAGAUCAGCAUGCUACGGUGAAUACGUUCCCGGGUCUUGUACACACCGCCCGUCACACCACGAGAGUUUGUAACACCCGAAGCCGGUGGAGUAACCUUUUAGGAGCUAGCCGUCGAAGGUGGGACAAAUGAUUGGGGUGAAGUCGUAACAAGGUAGCCGUAUCGGAAGGUGCGGCUGGAUCACCUCCUUU